rnacentral:rRNA from 1 species
CAGCACCUCAAGUGGUCAGGAUGAUUAUUGGGCCUAAAGCAUCCGUAGCCGGCGCUGUAAGUUUUCGGUUAAAUCUGUACGCUCAACGUACAGGCUGCCGGGAAUACUGCAGAGCAAGGGAGUGGGAGAGGUAGACGGUACUCGGUAGGAAGGGGUAAAAUCCUUUGAUCUAUUGAUGACCACCUGUGGCGAAGGCGGUCUACCAGAACACGUCCGACGGUGAGGGAUGAAAGCUGGGGGAGCAAACCGGAUUAGAGACCCGAGUAGUCC